UUUAUCCUGCGUUUCUCUUGACCUUACCCUGGCCUAGAUUACACCCGUGAGUGGGGAGGGGAUGAUCAUUAUUACAGGUACCGUUGGUGACUUGUUGGUGACUCUUUGGUUCUGUUGGUGACUUGGUUCAGAUGACUUUGGGUCUCAGAUGAUUUUUGGGUCUCAGAUGAUUUGUGGUUCCGAAUUCAAGCCGAAGCUUUGAUCCUGUGCUCCGAGAUACACAGCCAGCCAGUCGUGUUUGCAUCAUGUGCAUCAUAGCAUGUUUAUUUUCAAAAAAAAAUAAUGCAA
rnacentral:lncRNA from 1 species